rnacentral:lncRNA from 1 species
AUGUUAUCCCGCCGGCUGUCCGUGAGUCCAGUCCCACCCUACACCAGCAAGUCACCACCCAACCUGAUGUGUGGUCGAGGUGGGUGGGUCGGUGGGAGUCGCAGGAUAGGUGACGCGGUGUGCACGCACGGGGAUGCCGGUGGAGCGGUUUGUCAAAUCAACCUAAUCUGGGUUUCCUCUGCGGCAGAAAGCUUUCUGUCGUCCGUCCUCUCCUCUCCUCAUCUCCCCGGUGGUCUGACGGAGCUCCUGUUCAUCCGCCACCCGGCUGCUCUCUCAGCAGCAACUGCUCUCCUCGUUGGGAAGGCAAACCGGGGACUGUUUCUCUCUCUAUCUGCCUUUUUUUAUUUCUAUUGCGCCGCCCUCACGACCCACUCUGAGCCCGUUUUCUGCCCCGCCUCUCGCCGUUCCGCGCCGCUACAAUGCAGAGAAACAAACGCUCCGUCCACAGGAUGCCGAGAUCACUGCCUUCUCAUCUGCCUUUCAGCCUGCCUAACCUGACCGCUCAUCAACCAUCCUCCUCGUCGCUACUUCGCUCCAGCCCAGCCACACUCCCGACUUCAGGUCCCCAGGUCAUCCUCAAGACGGAUCCUGUCUUUGUGGCUAUCCUCCAGAAGGGUCCCAUCUCUGUCUUCGUUCUUCAAAGGGAUCCUGUUUACGUCACCGGCCUCCAGAGCAGUCCCUCCUUUGUCUUGGACCUCCAGAGCAGUCCUGUCUUCAUCACCGACCUCAAGAUGCGGUCCUGCCAACAUCGUCGAUCUCCAGGUCGCCCGCCAGAGUGGCCCCGCCUGUCUGCCUGUCCUCAAGAGUUGCCCGUCUGGUUGUUCUCCUGCCCAUCCUCCAAACAUGCUUAGCCCUUCAAUACUGCGUCCUGGUCGUCCUCCAGAUCUGUUCCCAGGACACUUUCACUCCAGCCAUGAUCUGGCCUUUAGCCUUUUCAUCAUUUCCUCCUGCAAACCUCUGGACAUCAUUCCCCCAUCUCGAUCUGCCAACCUCAGCAAUAAACCCCACUCCCCGUGUCUGUCUGGUUUUUUUUCAUCCAAAGUUUCUACUGAGGUUUUCAAAUGAAGCUUUGAUUCUCAAUUUGAAUAAAUUUGAAUAAAGUGCUGGUUGUGAAUUUCUUUAAUUAUUACAUUAUGUUUUUUCAAUAAAUUCUGACUUGGAUCACACAAUACACAAAAACAAUCCUACCCUCCCACCACUGGAAUCUUAUUCUGCAAAUAGUAUAUUACAGAAAUACUGGGUUUAAACAGAGUGAAUAGACAUGCUUUUUUAUAAAAGCUAUGCAGCAUUUGAAUGUUGAUUUAGAAUAUGAAUGUCAACUAUAUUCUUGGUCGGGCUCGGGCAUGCUUUGAACUUGAAAUUGGAGCAGAGCGGUAGAUAAGGCAACGAUCCAAGUGUAUCUGCCAGAGCAAAAAACUACUCAGAUUGGAACUGGAGCUCUUCAUGAGCCCAUAUAAGUUGCAAACCUCCAGACCAAAGCAUUUAACUGGCCCGCAAAUAGAAAAUUCAGAGCAUAUCUAUGACUGAUCAUUAAAAGAGGAUUCAAAAUUCUCCAUUUCCAUACUUACACCUGUAUUAAUUGAUUGCUUUGGCCAUUUGAGGGCAGCAGAACAAGCUGUAAACACAACAUAUUGUCACUUUAUGAAGCUGAUUUGGCCAAUGUGUUUGCAAACAAGUGCUCCAUCCAUUGCGGAACAACAUUAUCACUCAUAUGUUUCAUGUUUUUAGCUAACUGAUGAAUAGAAGUCCAUUAUUCACUGUCCUUUAAGCUCUGUUUUUGGUCUCAACCAACUCCUGAGGAAAGUAUCUGUCUCUUUAGUUUCUAAAUGCUCCAUAUUUUCAUCAGUUAAUUGUAGUUACUGUGGAAUAAAAGAUAAUUCAGAUAUGGUCUGGAU